rnacentral:rRNA from 2 species
GCGAUAGCGAAGAGGUCACACCCGUUCCCAUGCCGAACACGGAAGUUAAGCUCUUCAGCGCCGAUGGUAGUUGGGGGUCUCCCCCUGUGAGAGUAGGACGCCGCCAAGC